rnacentral:rRNA from 1 species
UACGUAGGGGGCGAGCGUUGUCCGGAGUUACUGGGCGUAAAGGGCGCGCAGGCGGUCUGGUAAGUUUGGAGUGACAGUGCUCGGCUUAACUGAGCAAGGCCUUCAAAAACUGCUGGACUUGAGGACUCAAGAGGGACAUAGAAUUCCGGGUGGAGUGGUGAAAUGCGUAGAUAUCCGGAGGAAUACCAAAGGCGAAGGCAGUGUCCUGGUGAGUACCUGACGCUCAGGCGCGAAAGCUAGGGGAGCGAACAGG